rnacentral:rRNA from 1 species
GAUGAACGCUAGCUACAGGCUUAACACAUGCAAGUCGAGGGGCAGCAUGAACUUAGCUUGCUAAGUUUGAUGGCGACCGGCGCACGGGUGAGUAACACGUAUCCAACCUUCCGUUUACUCAGGGAUAGCCUUUCGAAAGAAAGAUUAAUACCUGAUAGUAUGGUGAGAUUGCAUGAUAGCACCAUUAAAGAUUUAUCGGUGAUGGAUGGGGAUGCGUCUGAUUAGCUUGUUGGCGGGGUAACGGCCCACCAAGGCGACGAUCAGUAGGGGUUCUGAGAUACGGCCCAGACUCCUACGGGAGGCAGCAGUGGGGAAUAUUGGGGCAAUGGGCGCAAGCCUGACCCAGCAACGCCGCGUGAAGGAAGAAGGCUUUCGGGUUGUAAACUUCUUUUAAGAGGGAAGAGCAGAAGACUGUACCUCUAGAAUAAGCCACGGCUAACUACGUG